AGCUUCAACAGCACUGGAAUCUUUUUAGGGAGUAUAUUUUACAAAUAGAUGCUAACAUCUGUUCUUUUACUACAGCUGUAUUUUGUUUUUUGGCAGGUGGGAAUGGCGUUUUGAAAAGUAUUUAAGCACAGUUGCUUCUUUCGAACAGGUGACAUGUCAAAAAAUUUUGUUCCCAAAGCCUCAUUCUGGUGAGAGCAAAUGUAUAUAUGAGUGAGAGUCAACCAGCAAUGGG
rnacentral:lncRNA from 1 species